UACAGAGGGUGCGAGCGUUGUCCGGAAUCACUGGGCGUAAAGGGCGCGUAGGUGGUGACCUAAGCGUGCGGUGAAAGCCCGAGGCUCAACCUCGGGUCGGCCGUGCGAACUGGGUCACUGGAGCAGAAUAGAGGCAGGCGGAAUUCCGGGUGUAGCGGUGGAAUGCGUAGAGAUCCGGAAGAACACCGGUGGCGAAGGCGGCCUGCUGGGCAGUAGCUGACACUGAGGCGCGACAGCGUGGGGAGCAAACAGG
rnacentral:rRNA from 1 species